rnacentral:rRNA from 1 species
CACGUAAGGGGCGAGCGUCGUUCGGAAUUACUGGGCGUAAAGCGUGCGCAGGCGGUUGUGUAAGACAGGUGUGAAAUCCCCGGGCUUAACCUGGGAACUGCGCUUGUGACUGCAUAGCUAGAGUACGGUAGAGGGGGAUGGAAUUCCGCGUGUAGCAGUGAAAUGCGUAGAUAUGCGGAGGAACACCGAUGGCGAAGGCAAUCCCCUGGACCUGUACUGACGCUCAUGCACGAAAGCGUGGGGAGCAAACAGG